rnacentral:rRNA from 1 species
AGUGAACGCUGGCGGCGUGGAUUAGGCAUGCAAGUCGAGCGAUCUUAUCGCAAGAUAAGAUAGCGGCAGACUGGUGAGCAACACGUGAGUAAUUUACCUUUGAUUCGGGGAUAGCCUUGCGAAAGUGAGAGUAAUACCCGAUGUGUCCCUGAUGACAAAAGUAAUCAGGGGUAAAGGCGGUUCGUAAGGAUUGCUGGUCAAAGAUGAGCUCGCGUCCUAAUCAGCUAGUUGGUAGAGUAAUGGCCUACCAAGGCAUUUGACGGGUAGCUGGCCUGAGAGGGUGGUCAGCCACACGGGGACUGAGACACUGCCCCGACACUACGGGUGGCUG